rnacentral:lncRNA from 1 species
UAGUAUUGAGAGCCAACAAAUCCAUUGAAAUGGUAGUGCCUUAGUUUUGGAGAAUGGACUAUUUCUCUAAUUCUCUAUUGAGUGUGGUACAAAAGGAGUCUGGUGUGAAUGAAGAGCACAAAGUGAUGUUCAUCAAGUGCACUUCUAGAGGGUUGCUGUCUUUGUGGUGGCUUAGCAACAUUUAUCUUGAUAUACUUCACCCAAAACAGAAGUUAUUGUUAGAAUUAUUUUGUUUAUCCCUUUUCAAAGUUGUUUUCUAUUUAAAUAUAACUUAGUGAUGUUGAUGUAAACCAAAAAUCAGAAUACACAAUUGUAACCGCAAGUUCUCAAAUCAUGGGGUUCUAACAGUGGCCCAAUAUGGAUGUAGUGCUCAAUAUAAGAUAUGUAAUUCUAGUUUUAGGUUUCUUGUUAUUUUUUAUUCAUAUCUUCUCUCAUUGCAGAAGAAAGUUGUGCAUUGUAGACUGUUUAGAUGAAACGCAAAUUGAUGUAAAAGAAGAGAAAAGAAACAGUAAUCAGGCCAGAUAAGGAACUGGAAAAAGAAGAAUUGAAACCCUCAAUGUUACUUGUUUUAUAAACCUGUUCUCUACCUGUGUUUCAUAAUGACAUUUGUUAAUGUUUCCAAUGUUUGUGUGGUUGUAGGUGGUCCACAAGCUGCAUGUAUGGGCUGUGCUGGCUUUGCCGCAUUCUCAGUCGUCAUAGAGAAGUUUCUAGAGAGGCAUCAAUAAGUGAAUUAACUUGGAUCAAUUUUGUAUUCUUCGAUCAUAGUUUAAGUUCUUGAUCAAAAUAUUUUGCCCAUACGAUAGAGGGACGUGAUAGGGAGCAAGACAAAUUGCAAUAUUAUUUCACAUCUGUAAUUUAUUUGUAUACAAUGUCAUUGGCGGAUGCAUUCUCCGAACUUGGGAAAGCUCUGUGAUGACAUGGUUUAGUAUUGGAAAAUGCCAAGCAUUACGAAAACCAUAGGGAGCAAUAAUUGUGAUGAACUCUUUAAAGUGCUUAGCACUCCUGUUUAGUGGUAAUAGUUAAUUUCAAUAGAUUUUUCUUUGUAAUUCAUUCUUUUUUUUUGGAAUAUUUAUGGAGUGUUCCUAGGCUUCUUAAAAUCCACCAUUGUUUUCCUUUUUAAAGAGAUAGAAUAUGCUGACAAAUAUAUGCUGAGUUCCGUUAUCUAAUUGUGCUUCUGUAACUACCACAACAAAAAAAAUAUGUUUUUCUAUCUUUAAAAAUGAAACAGUCAUGUUCUUGUGAAAAAAGAGAUAUUCCAAAUUUUGUCCUGAAAUGAUGUCAUACAGUGCAAACGUUACCACGGAAAAGAUAUCCCAACAUGUUUGUAUAGUUAUAUAAAGAUUUUUUCAAUAUAAGCCACACGAUGUAGAUAAUUAAAUUAGCCUAAGCAAUAAUGCAAUAGAAUAUUCACACAAUGGAUUCUUAUAAAACAACAUACACAGAUGAACAUAAAUUCAAACAUGUAACUUACUUUCAAAAUAUUGGAACUAAGCUUUCAACAUAAUCUAUGGCAUCGUCCCAAUAUGCAUUAUCUCUAGUUCUAUUAUCGGUAACAGGUCUACAUACAAUAAUUUAUGUUCGCUUAGUUCUGUUAUCUCUCCUAUUAUAGAGAAUUGUUUCAGAUUCUUCAAUUGAAUGAUACAACAUUUAAACAAACUUUUCAACAAACAGUUGAUAUGCAUGAAAAUAAGUCCCCAUUGGUUUUAGGUAUUUGACAUUGUGGAUUAUUAUUGUAUAUUGAAAACAUAGGAGCAAAAUAAAAGAGUAAUAAAUCAAAGCAAAAGAGAUUUGAACGAAGUUUUAGGGUUACUAACCAGAGGGGAGUCACAGCCGGAGAGAGGCGUAGUGAUUCUGAAUUUGAAGUAGCGCAAUACACAUGGUUUUCAGAUACAAAAUGCCAAGUUUUNAGAGAGAGAGAGAGAGAGAGAGAGAGAGAGAGAGAGAGAGAGAGAGGAAAAAAAUCAUUUGAGUUACUACAAACUAUGAAUACGGUGUUUGAUCACUUGAUUUUAAAAUCUUUGAACAAAAUAGUUAGGAUAACUUUUCGCUCAAUAACUCUCUUCAAUGGUUAUUCUCCCUAUAGAUGAGUAUAACCAUUGAAGGUUUAAGAAUUUCAAUGUAAGUAACAAUUAUAUAAUUAGUUUUAUGCCUAAACCUAAUCAAUAAUUGAACGGUUAAAAUAGGGUAAAUCUCAAAAUUAGGUUCAAAAAUCCUUGUUGAUCUAAAAUUGUAUUAUGGACAAAGUUAAGGUUAAUAAUCAUUAAACACGUAAAAAGCAUUAAGAAUAAGAUUAACCGAAUAAAAUAACUAAGUAAUUGACUAGAAUUCAAAGCAUCUUUUAAAGCUACGUGAACAAAUAAUUAAGAAAAGUUCCUCUUCCAUGACUUAACCUAGCAAGGAUUUAUCUACUAUAUAUAUAUAUAUAUAUAUAUAUAUAUAUAUAUAUAUAUAUAGUAGAUAAAAUAACACACAAAUACAAAUAAAAUAACACAGAAAAGGAUCAUCUGUUGAUGAUUCCUUGGCUCCCGAAUUGUUCCGGUCGCUUCAAUCCUUCGGAAAUCGUGUUUCUACCUUUGUAUGCUCGUCAAAAGGUGUUUUUCCAGUAACCUAUGGGUUCACUUUUUUAUAGGCAUCAAAUUUCCCAAGUUUUAGGGAAAUUGGUUCCCGAUACAAGUAUAUUCCUCGCGAUAUGAGGCAGCCAAUGAGCAUCCCUUUUUGGCAUGUCACUCUAUAUCGCGAUGUGGGGCUCACAACCCGCGAUGCGAGAUAGACAAUAGCGAUCAUCUUGGUUUCCAAUCGUAUUCGCGCGAUACGGGGCUCAUAGCUCGCGAUGCGAGUUAGGCAGAAGUUGAUUCCUUGGUUUCUUUAUUUCUUGCUUCAUUUCUUCUUGCCAAAACGUCGCUAACGAAUAUACCUCAAACUUAAUCAACGAUAAACUUAUAAUUUUAUUUUUAUCCUACUAAGUUAUAAUUUCUAAAUUGGUCCCCCAAACUUGAUUUCGGGCUCCGUUCCUAAAUUGCUGGAUUGCAUGAGCAUGGUCCAUGCCGCAGUAGAACCUCAUCAAGGCCAGUGUUCUUUUUUCCCUUAUAUUAGUAACAAACAAAUAGUGUGAACACAUUGCAUAAAUAGGAUAUGCUUGAUAGUUAAUUCCACCUUCUCAUUCUACACAAAGUAUGAAAAGAACCAAUUGAACUUGAGAUGCCGUUUACGUUCAUUUCCAAUUUCCAUCUAUUUUAUUAUUAAACAGGAAUGGCAACUUCCAAGUGCUUGAAAGUCCAUCACCUAAAAUUGACAAUUGUUAUCAGUCACUUUUUUUAAUAAUAUUUGUGACUCCACACAUGUACCUUUGUAAUAUAUACAAUUUAUAUCAUUUCAAUAUUAAUAGUCUGUGUCGUACACGGGACAUUAGACUGGUAAUAUUAUAUAAUUUAAAUCUUCGUUUUUUAUUUUGAAAUUAAAUCAUCUUUGAAAUUUAUAACUCGCAAAAACUUGUAAAACAUAAGUUUUAUGAUGAUAUAAUUAAAAGUGAUAUAAGAAUUAAAACAUAACCAGUAAAAAUUAAUUUGAUUCAUAUUUUUUUCUUAGGGAUGAUCAAAACUCAUCUUAAAUUGGAUUUCUCGGAAACAUAAUAUUAGAGGUACGAAUAUGUUAAAAAUAGUGUCAAAUAAUGAAUAUACAUCCUUGUACCUAAAUAAUACUCCUAAGUAGAUAUAUGAAAACAUAUACUCCCUCCGUUUUUAAAUAUAAGCAAAAUUGACUUUUUAGAUUCAUUAAAUUAAUGAUGUAUAUAGUCCAUAAUAUAAACCACAUACAUCAUUAAUUAAAUGAACCUAAAAAAUCACUUUUACUUAUAUUUAAAAACGGAUGGAGUAUAGAGUAAUGAAUAUAAUUAACUAAAAAAAUUAUGAGUAUACAUCCUCCAUCAUAAAAGAAUGAAUAUACACCAUAGCUUCGAAUUAAAAUUAAUGCUUGAGAAAAAAUCAAUUUUAAACUUCGUAUAUAAUCUAUAAAAACAAGAUUUCUUAUAUCUAUCCAAACUUUUUCUUAUAUAAAAUCAAACUUUUAUUUUGACAAAAGAAAAAAAUCAAACUUAAGAAUGGGUACUCCCCCUAAUAUACACCCAUCGUUUCGUGAUACACACACUAAAUACUAAUUGAAAAAUAUAUAAUUUUAUAUAUAAAAUUUAUCCUCAUGAGAAAAUUUCAAUUAAAAUAUGUUGCUCCAUAAUAGUUAGACAGUGACGUAAAUACAUUUGAACCAAAUUAAUUUUUUUUAACCAAGGAUGCACGCAACUUAGGAGAUUGAUCCUCACAUAUUUACUUAAGCUAUUAAUCUCUUCUAACAUAUAUGUUUUCAUAUACACAAGUCAGAGAACGAACUUUAUACACACACAAAAAAAAAAUUGUAUAUGUAUGUUGAGAACAAACUCACAACGUCCAAAUUAAUAGCAUAUAAUGACAAAAUGACUACAAAAAAUAUGAUGAAAUCUAAAUCAUCAUAAUAUUCAUGCUUCCGGAUCUGCAACGUUGGCGUCCAAAUCAUUGAUUGAAUCUGUGAUUGACUGAAGCUAAUCUUUCAAUAUGAAUCAAACAAACACUGCAACAAAAUGUGAAAUCAAACAAUGCCGCACAAGACGACGAACAACACAACGCCGCACUCGGACGACGAAAUCACGAAACAAAACACAAAAAAAACACUUGAUAUAUGUGGAAAUCACUUAUUUAGAUUGAAAGAAAAUGGAAAAAAGGAUGCACAGGGUGAUUCUAGGUCAAAAAAUGAUCUAAAACCACCCCUCCUCGACGAGUGAAAGAGAAAUAAAACUUAAAGAAGUUAGAGUUUCUCUCACUAAAAAACUAGGGUCGGCUCGCAAACAAAUUACACUCUUAAAAUAAAUAGAAAUUUUAAAACUGAUCAUUGAAUGUAUAUUUUUUUACAAUCAUAACCCUUUUACUUUUUACAACAAAUUAAACAAAUAAAUUUAAAAUAAUAAUAUCAAGCUAUCAUUGUCUUGUGUAGGGGUGACCCAAUAAGAUUACAUUUUUAAUUAAUCUUGGAAGGCAUGAAACACCAUGCUUUUCUAUUGACCAUUAGAGAUUUCAGAAAGCAACCGUUAUUAUCUCAAAUAACAUUCGAACAAUAAUUGCAUGUUUUUCCAAGCCCAUGCAACAACUAUAAAUAGUUAAAGCUUUCUCUCAUUUUUCCACAAGCAAAACACAAAUCGUUUAUUCCAUUCUAUCUUUCAUUCUCUCAAACUUCUACUAAAAUUACUUCAAUUCAAUCCAAUGGCAUCUUUCCAAUCCUUCAACUUUGAAACUGAAAUUCCACAAGAGCUUCUCAUAUCUCAAAUCAUGCAAAUUCAUACAACCAUUUCUAAGCUAGAAUCUCUUAGGCCUUCAAAACAAGUCAACACCCUUUUGACUCACUUAGUCAAACUUUGCAUCCUCCCUUCAUCCAUUGAGAUUGAAGCCUUGCCACAAGAGGUUAAGACAAUGCGUGAAAGCCUCAUUCCCAUUUGUGGCAAAGCUGAAGGACUUUUGGAGCUUGAAUUCUCAACUUUCAUUAGCCAAACACCAAAUCCAGCAAAAAAUUUAACACUUUUCCCUUACUAUGGAAACUAUGUUAAACUAGCAAACUAUGAAAACAAAAUCCUCAAAGAAAAUGGUGUAGUGGAUGCAAAAAAAGUAGCUUUUAUAGGAUCUGGUCCAAUGCCACUAAGUUCAAUUAUAUUGGCAACUCAUCACAUGGAAUCAACUCACUUUGAUAAUUUUGAUAUCGAUGAGAAAGCUAAUGAGGUUGCUAGCAAGAUCGUGGCUUCGGAUAAAGCACUUGAAAAGAGGAUGAAAUUUGUGACACAAGAUAUAAUGGAAGCUAAGGAGAGGUUAGGGCAAUAUGAUUGCAUUUUUUUGGCAGCACUUGUUGGUAUGCGUAGAAGUGAAAAAGUGAAGAUUUUGGGACAUAUAAGUAAGUAUAUGAAGGAAGGUAGUGUUUUGCUUGUAAGAAGUGCAAAAGGGAGUAGAGCUUUUUUGUAUCCUAUUGUUGAGGAGAAUGAUAUGGUAAAUUUUGAGGUGCUUACAAUUUUUCAUCCAACGGAUGAUGUUAUCAACUCGGUUAUUCUUCUUCGCAAACCUAAAGCUUGAUCAAUAAGCUAAGUUACCAAAUAAGUUGAAUUUCUACUUGAAGAAGAAUCUAUUUAUAGUGUAGAUUCAAAUGUGUGUUGUUCUUUUGAUUGAAAGUGUUUCUUUUCCUAUGAUAUACUUUGUAUAAUUAGUGAGGUUUAGUGUUAUGUUCUAGUGCUUGCCUCAUUCGUCUUACUUUAUAAGAUGAUUGAAGAUUAUGUAUCGUAAUUCCAAAUAAUAAAUGAACAAGCUUUGUGUUUAUUUUUUAAUUGUUUUACUUUUUUUUAGAAAAGAAGGUGCUAAUCCCCAAAGACUACAAUGGAACAAACCUGAGAGAUUUGAUUCAAAGGUUGAUCAAAAACCUUCAUCGAAGUAACUUCACACGUCAUAAGCAUCUGCUACCUUGUUUGCUUGACAAUACAUAUAGCAAAUACUUGAUGGGAUAAAACCACAAGUGCACGGUUCUACUGAAGUAGUAAAAAUAGAGUAUCGUUUCGAUAGGGAGUUGUUCAAUUCAAUUAACUUUAGUUGAUGAUUAGAAAAGGUUAAGUUGCAAAGUUGGGGUUUUCAAACGGUUAAAAGAAAAUAUAAUAAUAAAAAAGAGCCUUGGGAUUAUUGGUUCAUCAUAAUGACAAACCCUUCACAAACCAAAACCUUAAACCUAUAACUUUAUGUUAGACCUACUUUCUAAUGACAAAUUUCUCUUUAGUCUAUCACAUCUCCUUUCGGUCUCGGUGAGUGUGUUUCUCUAGCAACCACGACUAUUUUCAUGGUUGAUUGCUAUUGAAAUCCUUCAAGCUCGAAACUUUAUUGUCUCAAGGUUUGCUAGACUAUUUUAAUGUUUUGCAAUCCUUAUCUAUAUUCACUUGUUCCAAUAUUAAAACUUCAUCUUUCGAUCAUUCGCUUAAUAUUUGUGAUAAAUCAAUAACAACUAUUAAACUUCAUCUUUCAAUCCUUCGAUUAAUACUUGUUAUUGAUUAUAAGAACGGUGAAAUAGAUUAGAAAUCAAGGUUACAUAAAAUUAGGGAUUAAAGCUUGGUUUGAUUAGGAUUAUGUCAUUAGACUUAUCCAACAAUCUCAAGACAAGAAGAGUCUACUCACUCAUGUUCAUCGUAGACAUUGAGAAGAAGAAGAAGAAAAGCAUAAAGUAAAUAACAAAGAAAUAAAGAAAUAACUUUUAUUAAGAAAGACAAUUGUCACUGAUUGAAUUCCAAGAACAAAAAAUGAAUUGUUGUGAUAGCUCGCUACUCUAUUUAGUCUUAUGUCGACUUAAAACCUAAGGAACUAUUCACUAGAAUGUUCAACAAGAAACCACAGACUUUUAGGUCAAAAUAGGUAGCUUGUUUCCGAAGCAAAAGCAGCAAAAGAGCACCCUGAAGCUUGGCACGGGCCGUGCUGCUGGUGGCACGGGCCGUGCCUCCUCGCUGACCUGGGGAGUGACAUAUUUUUGUCCCAUAUUUCAUAUUUUCAUCCUGAAUCAACUUCUAAUCCUCUUUCUUUUGCUCUAAGACUCAAUCUAUCAAACAUUCGUUCCUGAAAUAUAAUAAUUUGCAAUUGAAGUAAAAUAGUUCUAAAAGGAAAUAAUAUUUAAAUAAAAUAAACUUAAAUCUAAGUAAAACGGAAUCAAAUAUUAUAUUAAAACUACUAAUUAUUGACUCAUCAAUACUCAUCCUCAAAUAUCUUUAAGGAAACAUUUUGAUUUCUUUGAAUCAAAUUAAAACCAAAUCCACCGCUAUUUUAUCCUGUUCAAGGUAUUAACACCCGCUUGAGGGUCAAUUCGAAGCUCAAUCAUCCAGAAACCCUGCACUUUGUGUAAUUUAAGUGUUAAUAGAAAGGAUGUCUUAAUGCCACAUAAAUGACAAUUUAUAAAUGUAAAUAAAGGACAAAAGGCAUAGAACUUGCAAAAGAAAUAAUAAUUUCAAAACAUGAAUAAAAAGAGGAACCAAAUUAUAUACUAAAAAUUAGUAGCAUGCUGAGCAAGUUUGUCAAAUAUAUAUAAUAUUUUAUAUAUAGAUUUUUUCAAUAUAAGCCAGACGAUGUAGAUAAUUAAAUUAGCCUAAGCAAUAAUGCAAUAGAAUAUUCACACAAUGGAUUCUUAUAAAACAACAUACACAGAUGAACAUAAAUUCAAACAUGUAACUUACUUUCAAAAUAUUGGAACUAAGCUUUCAACAUAAUCUAUGACAUCGUCCCAAUAUGCAUUAUCUCUAGUUCUAUUAUCGGUAACAGGUCUACAUACAAUAAUUUAUGUUCGCUUAGUUCUGUUAUCUCUCCUAUUAUAGAGAAUUGUUUCAGAUUCUUCAAUUGAAUGAUACAACAUUUAAACAAACUUUUCAACAAACAGUUGAUAUGCAUGAAAAUAAGUCCCCAUUGGUUUUAGGUAUUUGACAUUGUGGAUUAUUAUUGUAUAUUGAAAACAUAGGAGCAAAAUAAAAGAGUAAUAAAUCAAAGCAAAAGAGAUUUGAACGAAGUUUUAGGGUUACUAACCAGAGGGGAGUCACAGCCGGAGAGAGGCGUAGUGAUUCUGAAUUUGAAGUAGCGCAAUACACAUGGUUUUCAGAUACAAAAUGCCAAGUUUUUAACAAGUUUGAAGUAAUCAAAUUCUAUGUAUCUAAUCUAGUAAAUUUUUCGAGUUAAAAUCACUGGUCCCACCAAAAUAUUUGCCAAUCCUCCCAAUCUUACAAUUAAGAUUGUUGAUCCCACACAAUCCUACCAGAUUGCGGUUCUGUCUGUUAUUGGGAUAAUCCAAGUCGUCAAGGAUCUUACUUAUGAGUAAGAUCAUGAGUUUGACUACCUUGCCAAAUAAUUGUAACGUAUAAUUAUAACCCCAAUGUUUCUCAAAAUUAAAGUGUUUGUCAUGGUGUGGGGAUUUCUUCAUAUGGUUUUUGGGAUGGUUAGAAAUUUAGACUGAAUAAUAUUUAUAGGAGUAUCUUAGGCGGGUGCAAAGCUUGAUUUUGUCUCUUUUAGGAGACAUCUUUGUUGGGCAUAAAAUGCAUGGCAACAAAGGAUGCAUUUCGACAUCAUUGUCUUUGUAGUGCAUACUCAAGGAGAUAGUAAGUAAUGGUGAUGGAGUGCAUGCACACAAGCAUUGGUACUCAUGAGCCAGGCUCGCUUGUAUGCCUCUGGAAGAGAGAAUGCUACUCACGGCUUUUAAAGAGUCAACGUUGAACUGCAUUCUCAACAGGGACUCCUUACUAAGGUGUUACUGAAAACCUUGAUGUAGUAUCCUAGUAUUGAGAGCCAACAAAUCCAUUGAAAUGGUAGUGCCUUAGUUUUGGAGAAUGGACUAUUUCUCUAAUUCUCUAUUGAGUGUGGUACAAAGGGAGUCUGGUGUGAAUGAAGAGCACAAAGUGAUGUUCAUCAAGUGCACUUCUAGAGGGUUGCUGUCUUUGUGGUGGCUUAGCAACAUUUAUCUUGAUAUACUUCACCCAAAACAGAAGUUAUUGUUAGAAUUAUUUUGUUUAUCCCUUUUCAAAGUUGUUUUCUAUUUAAAUAUAACUUAGUGAUGUUGAUGUAAACCAAAAAUCAGAAUAGACAAUUGUAACCGCAAGUUCUCAAAUCAUGGGGUUCUGACAGUGGCCCAAUAUGGAUGUAGUGCUCAAUAUAAGAUAUGUAAUUUUAGUUUUAGGUUUCUUGUUAUUUUUUAUUCAUAUCUUCUCUCAUUGCAGAAGAAAGUUGUGCAUUGUAGGCUGUUUAGAUGAAACGCAAAUUGAUGUAAAAGAAGAGAAAAGAAACAGUAAUCAGGCCAGAUAAGGAACUGGAAAAUGAAGAAUUGAAACCCUCAAUGUUGCUUGUUUUAUAAACCUGUUCUCUACCUGUGUUUCGUAAUGACAUUUGUUAAUGUUUCCAAUGUUUGUGUGGUUGUAGGUGGUCCACAAGCUGCAUGUAUGGGCUGUGCUGGCUUUGCCGCAUUCUCAGUCGUCAUAGAGAAGUUUCUAGAGAGGCAUCAAUAAGUGAAUUAACUUGGAUCAAUUUUGUAUUCUUCGAUCAUAGUUUAAGUUCUUGAUCAAAAUAUUUUGCCCAUACGAUAGAGGGACGUGAUAGGGAGCAAGACAAAUUGCAAUAUUAUUUCACAUCUGUAAUUUAUUUGUAUACAAUGUCAUUGGCGGAUGCAUUCUCCGAACUUGGGAAAGCUCUGUGAUGACAUGGUUUAGUAUUGGAAAAUGCCAAGCAUUACGAAAACCAUAGGGAGCAAUAAUUGUGAUGAACUCUUUAAAGUGCUUAGCACUCCUGUUUAGUGGUAAUAGUUAAUUUCAAUAGAUUUUUCUUUGUAAUUCAUUCUUUUUU